GAUGAACGCUGGCGGCGUGCCUAAUACAUGCAAGUCGAGCGAACAGACGAGGAGCUUGCUCCUCUGACGUUAGCGGCGGACGGGUGAGUAACACGUGGAUAACCUACCUAUAAGACUGGGAUAACUUCGGGAAACCGGAGCUAAUACCGGAUAAUAUAUUGAACCGCAUGGUUCAAUAGUGAAAGACGGUUUUGCUGUCACUUAUAGAUGGAUCCGCGCAGCAUUAGCUAGUUGGUAAGGUAACGGCUUACCAAGGCAACGAUGCGUAGCCGACCUGAGAGGGUGAUCGGCCACACUGGAACUGAGACACGGUCCAGACUCCUACGGGAGGCAGCAGUAGGGAAUCUUCCGCAAUGGGCGAAAGCCUGACGGAGCAACGCCGCGUGAGUGAUAAAGGUCUUCGGAUCGUAAAACUCUGUUAUUAGGGAAGAACAAAUGUGUAAGUAACUAUGCACGUCUUGACGGUACCUAAUCAGAAAGCCACGGCUAACUACGUG
rnacentral:rRNA from 1 species